rnacentral:rRNA from 1 species
CCUACGGGAGGCAGCAGUGAGGAAUAUUGGUCAAUGGCCGGGAGGCUGAACCAGCCAAGUCGCGUGAGGGAAGACGGCCCUAUGGGUUGUAAACCUCUUUUGUCAGGGAGCAAGAUGCAGGUCGGGACAUGCUGUGAGGGUACCGGAAGAAAAAGCAUCGGCUAAUUCCGUGCCAGCAGCCGCGGUAAUACGGAGGGGGCAAGCGUUGUUCGGAAUGAAUGGGUGUAAAGGGUGUGUAGGUGGUUUGUUAAGUUAGCUGUGUAAUACCCAGGGCUUAACUCGGGUGCUGCAUCUAAAACUGUUAGGCUUGAGUACUGGAGAGGAUAGUGGAAUUCCUAGUGUAGCGGUGGAAUGCGUAGAUAUUAGGAGGAACAUCAGUGGCGAAGGCGACUAUCUGGACAGCAACUGACACUGAGGCACGAAAGCGUGGGGAGCAAACAGGAUUAGAUACCCUGGUAGUC